rnacentral:rRNA from 1 species
AAUACAUGCAAGUCGAACGAGAAUUCCCGGCUUCGGUUGGGAUAGUAAAGUGGCGAACGGGUGAGUAACACGUGGAUAACCUGCCUGUACUCCUGGGAUAAUCCCUCGAAAGGGGGCCUAAUACCGGAUAAUAUCCUUAGAUGACAUCUUCUGAGGUUCAAAGACGGGGUAACCUGUCAAGUACAGAUGGAUCCGCGCCCCAUUAGCUUGUUGGCGGGGUAACGGCCCACCAAGGCUACGAUGGGUAGCCGGCCUGAGAGGGUGAUCGGCCACACUGGGACUGAGAUACGGCCCAGACUCCUACGGGAGGCAGCAGUAGGGAAUAUUGCGCAAUGGACGAAAGUCUGACGCAGCAACGCCGCGUGGGUGAUGAAGCAUUUCGGUGCGUAAAACCCUGUCAGCAGGAAAGAAACGCACGAGGAGUAACUGCCUCGUGCCUGACGGUACCUGCAGAGGAAGUCCCGGCUAACUCCGUGCCAGCAGCCGCGGUAAUACGGGGGGGACAAGCGUUGUUCGGAUUUACUGGGCGUAAAGGGCGCGUAGGCGGGCCUUCAAGUCGGAUGUGAAACCUGGCGGCUUAACCACCAGCCUGCAUUCGAUACUGUUGGUCUUGAGUACGGGAGAGGAGAAUGGAAUUCCAGGUGUAGCGGUGAAAUGCGUAGAUAUCUGGAAGAACACCAGUAGCGAAGGCGGUUCUCUGGACCGAUACUGACGCUAAAGCGCGAAGGCUUGGGGAGCAAACAGGAUUAGAUACCCUGGUAGUCCAAGCGGUGAACUAUGGGUACUAGGUGUCGGAGGUAUCGACCCCUCCGGUGCCGCAGCUAACGCAAUAAGUACCCCGCCCUGGGGAGUACGA